GAUGAAGAACGCAGUGAAAUGCGAUAAGUAAUGUGAAUUGCAGAAUUCAGUGAAUCAUCGAAUCUUUGAACGCACAUUGCGCCCCUUGGUAUUCCGAGGGGCAUGCCUGUUCGAGCGUCAUUAUAACCCCUCAAGCUUAGCUUGGUGUUGGGGCCUGCUGUAAUAGAGCAGCCCUUAAAAUCAGUGGCGGUGCCAUUAGGCUCUAAGCGUAGUAAUUCUUCUCGCUAUAGGGUUCUGGUGGAUGCUUGCCAUUAACCUCUAAUUUUCUAUGGUUGACCUCGGAUCAGGUAGGGAUACCCGCUGAACUUAAGCAUAUCAAUAAGCGGAGGA
rnacentral:misc_RNA from 1 species